AAGAACUAUACGAUUUACAUACUACAUGCAGUAUACCAAACUGGUCAAAUAUACAAGAUUGAUGCGUGUAUUCCCAGCCAAGACCAGAAGAAAGGAACGUGGAUGAGUUAUUCAACCAAUAAUGGUUUUUGGGUUAUUGUAAACAUUGUAACCAGUUCUUAGUUGAAUAUUUCAAUUUCUGAUGUCGAGAAUUUGAACUCACCGGCGAGGAGGUUUUUUGUUUG